CAACUUGCUGGCACAGUUAGCUGGUGUUUCUGAGCUCCAGGCUAAUUGACAUGUACAUGGUGGCAAAACAAGGGUGAAGUACCUGUUUCUAUACUGCAGUCAAGGAGACGAAAGGAGAUAUGAAUUGAGGUAGAAUUUUUAAAAAAGCAAGCACAGACCCUAAA
rnacentral:lncRNA from 1 species